AUACCAGGGUCAAAAGGUCAUGCUUUUCAUGCUUGCAUGAAAAAGCAUGAGUUUAGGACCCGCAAAACAUGAGAAAGUAGCCCGAGCAGGGCGGAUUUCGAAUGUUUUUAGUAUUGCGAGAGCACAAAGUGCGUAGCAAUACGUAGAUAUC
rnacentral:sRNA from 1 species